AAUGACGGUACUUGAGGAGGAAGCCCCGGCUAACUACGUGCCAGCAGCCGCGGUAAUACGGAGGGGGCUAGCGUUAUCCGGAUUUACUGGGCGUAAAGGGGGCGUAGGCGGUCUUUCAAGUCAGGAGUGAAAGGCUACGGCUCAACCGUAGUAAGCUCUUGAAACUGGGAGACUUGAGUGCAGGAGAGGAGAGUGGAAUUCCUAGUGUAGCGGUGAAAUGCGUAGAUAUUAGGAGGAACACCAGUUGCGAAGGCGGCUCUCUGGACUGU
rnacentral:rRNA from 1 species